CGCAAAUUGUGGUUGGCCUAGGUGGAAAAGGUGGAACUGAUAGUCAGUCGGAGACGAGCCACUAGUCGGAAAGGAGCUACCAUUUGUGCACUGUCAAUGUAAAGGUGCAUAUCAUGCUGAUUCAGAGAGAGGCUUUUACUGCUUCUUUCCAAUGCCUCGGAUUGGUGGAUAAAUAGCUGGAUCUAUUCUGGAAUUUGUAUGAAUCAUCGCCAUGAAGAUACGAUAAAGUCCGGCAAUUCUACCUGAAAUUCCACCUACCAACAUGCAGUUGCCACCACAUUGCGCAAUCACUGUAACGUAAUACUAUAUUGAUGUACAGUGAAGGAUCAGCCUAAUGGAUGUGUUAGUGUGCUGAAAUAUAAGGUAAUUCAUAUCGGAA